rnacentral:rRNA from 1 species
UACGUAGGGGGCUAGCGUUGUCCGGAAUCAUUGGGCGUAAAGCGCGUGUAGGCGGUUCGGUAAGUCCGCUGUGAAAGUCGGGGGCUCAACCCUCGGAUGCCGGUGGAUACUGCCGGACUAGAGUUCGGAAGAGGCGAGUGGAAUUCCCGGUGUAGCGGUGAAAUGCGCAGAUAUCAGGAGGAACACCUAUAGCGAAGGCAGCUUGCUGGGACGACACUGACGCUGAGGCGCGAAAGCGUGGGGAGCGAACAGG